rnacentral:tRNA from 1 species
GGGUGAAUAGACGACACGUUCACUAUUUUGCAAAAAUAGUGCUAAGGGUUUUCCCUUUUCACCCU